UACAGAGGGUGCGAGCGUUAAUCGGAAUUACUGGGCGUAAAGCGCGCGUAGGCGGCUUUGCAAGUCGGAUGUGAAAUCCCCAGGCUUAACCUGGGAACUGCAUUCGAGACUGCAUUGCUAGAGUAUGGGAGAGGGAAGUGGAAUUUCCGGUGUAGCGGUGAAAUGCGUAGAUAUCGGGAGGAACACCUAUGGCGAAGGCAGCUCGCUGGGACGUUACUGACGCUGAGACGCGAAAGCGUGGGGAGCAAACAGG
rnacentral:rRNA from 1 species